UGGGGAAUAUUGGACAAUGGGCGGAAGCCUGAUCCAGCAACGCCGCGUGAGGGAUGACGGCCUUCGGGUUGUAAACCUCUUUCAGCACAGACGAAGCGCAAGUGACGGUAUGUGCAGAAGAAGGACCGGCCAACUACGUGCCAGCAGCCGCGGUAAUACGUAGGGUCCGAGCGUUGUCCGGAAUUAUUGGGCGUAAAGGGCUCGUAGGCGGUUUGUCGCGUCGGGAGUGAAAACACCGGGCUUAACUCGGUGCUUGCUUUCGAUACGGGCAGACUAGAGGCAUUCAGGGGGAGAACGGAAUUCCUGGUGUAGCGGUGAAAUGCGCAGAUAUCAGGAGGAACACCGGUGGCGAAGGCGGUUCUCUGGGAAUGUCCUGACGCUGAGGAGCGAAAGUGUGGGGAGCGAACAGGAUUAGAUACCCUGGUAGUCCACACCGUAAACGUUGGGCGCCAGGUGUGGGAUCCAUUCCACGGGUUCCGUGCCGCAGCUAACGCAUUAAGCGCCCCGCCUGGGGAGUACGGCCGCAAGGCUAAAAUCUUAAAUGAAUUGACGGGGUCAUAGCUGUUUCC
rnacentral:rRNA from 1 species